rnacentral:rRNA from 1 species
CACGUAGGGGGCGAGCGUUGUCCGGAUUUAUUGGGCGUAAAGAGCUCGUAGGCGGUUCGAUAAGUCGGGUGUGAAAACUCUGGGCUCAACUCAGAGACGCCACCCGAUACUGUUGUGACUUGAGUCCGGUAGGGGAGUAUGGAAUUCCCGGUGUAGCGGUGAAAUGCGUAGAUAUCAAGAGGAACACCUGCGGCGAAGGCGGGUUGCUGGGCCGACACUGACGCUGAGGCGCGAAAGCUAGGGGAGCGAACGGG